rnacentral:lncRNA from 1 species
GUGACAGCAAACCUGAUAACCCCAGAUCAGACACAUUCAAUUUCGCAUGUGAAGAGCGGGGACAUAUAAUAAUGUAUCAUGAACCCAGGGUUUAGUCACAUGGCAACGUUGACAUCGUACAUACAAAGCCAACCAUAAUGAAAUCUUAUUUAUAUUAUACCAAUAAGGGUGAAAAAUGAAAGAAAGAAAGAAAAAGAAAAUGCAG